UGAACAAUAGAGAAAAUAUGAAACCAAGAGCUGGCUUUUUGAGACUAAACAAAAUUGACAAACCUAUGGCCAGGUUCACCAAGAUGAAAAGAGGAAGAACACAAAUACACAAACUAAGAAAGAAUAAAGGAGAAAUUUCAACCAACACCACAGAAAUUUAAAA